rnacentral:rRNA from 2 species
AGAGUUUGAUCCUGGCUCAGGACGAACGCUGGCGGCGUGCCUAACACAUGCAAGUCGAACGAAGUGUAUUUUUCGGAAUAUACUUAGUGGCGGACGGGUGAGUAACGCGUGAACAAUCUGCCCUAUACAAAGGAAUAGCCUCGGGAAACCGGGAUUAAAACCAUAUAACACUUUUCGGUCGCAUGACUAAAAAGUCAAAUUGAUUAAGAGGUAUAGGAUGAGUUCGCGUCUGAUUAGCUAGUUGGUGAGGUAAUGGCUCACCAAGGCGACGAUCAGUAGCCGGCCUGAGAGGGUGAACGGCCACACUGGAACUGAGACACGGUCCAGACUCCUACGGGAGGCAGCAGUGGGGAAUAUUGCACAAUGGGCGAAAGCCUGAUGCAGCGACGCCGCGUGAGUGAAGAAGGUCUUCGGAUCGUAAAACUCUGUCCUUGGGGAAGAUAAUGACGGUACCCAAGGAGGAAGCCCCGGCUAACUACGUGCCAGCAGCCGCGGUAAUACGUAGGGGGCGAGCGUUGUCCGGAUUUACUGGGCGUAAAGGGUGAGUAGGCGGUUAUUUAAGUCAGAUGUAAAAGGCUAUGGCUCAACUAUAGUAAGCAUUUGAAACUGGAUAACUUGAGUGCAGGAGAGGUAAGUGGAAUUCCUAGUGUAGCGGUGAAAUGCGUAGAUAUUAGGAGGAACACCAGUGGCGAAGGCGACUUACUGGACUGUAACUGACGCUGAGUCACGAAAGCGUGGGUAGCAAACAGGAUUAGAUACCCUGGUAGUCCACGCUGUAAACGAUGAGUGCUAGGUGUUGGCUAGCGAUAGUCAGUGCCGACGUAAACACAAUAAGCACUCCGCCUGGGGAGUACGGUCGCAAGACUGAAACUCAAAGGAAUUGACGG